rnacentral:tRNA from 1 species
GGGCGCGUAGCUCAGCGGUAGAGCACUACCUUGACAUGGUAGGGGUCUCAGGUUCGAUCCCUGACGCGCCCACCA